UACAGAGGUCUCAAGCGUUGUUCGGAUUCAUUGGGCGUAAAGGGUGCGUAGGUGGCGCCGUAAGUCAGGUGUGAAAUCUCGGAGCUCAACUCCGAAACUGCACUUGAUACUGCGGUGCUCGAGUACUGGAGAGGAGAUUGGAAUUUACGGUGUAGCAGUGAAAUGCGUAGAUAUCGUAAGGAAGACCAGUGGCGAAGGCGAAUCUCUGGACAGUUACUGACAC
rnacentral:rRNA from 1 species